rnacentral:rRNA from 1 species
UACAGAGGGGGCAAGCGUUAUCCGGAGUUACUGGGCGUAAAGCGCGGGCAGGCGGCUCGAAACGUCUGAUGUGAAAUCUCCUCGCUCAACGGGGAGAGGCCAUUGGAAACGGUCGAGCUGGAGGGCAGUAGAGGUAGGCGGAAUUCCGGGUGGAGUGGUGAAAUGCGUAGAGAUCGGGAGGAACAUCAGUGGCGAAGGCGGCCUUCUGGACCAGUACUGACGCUGAGGCACGAAAGCGUGGGGAGCAAACAGG